GGGUUGAAGCAUGACCGUAAGGACAUGUGGACAGUAUGGGAGUGAGAAUGUUGGCAUGAGUAGCGAGAUGUGGGUGAGAAUCCCACAGGCCGUAAACCCAAGGUUUCCAGGGGAAGGUUCGUCCGCCCUGGGUUAGUCGGGACCUAAGCUGAGGCCGAAAGGCGUAGGUGAUGGACAACAGGUUGAUAUUCCUGUACUACCGAUAACCGUUUGAGAGAAGGGAUGACACAGUAGGAUAAGCUAAGCACACUGUUGGUUAUGUGUGCCCAAGCAUUGAGGCAGUCAAAGUAGGCAAAUCCGCUUUGAUAAUGCUGGGAUGUGAUGGGGAGCGAAAUUUAGUAGCGAAGUAGCUGAUUUCACACUGUCAAGAAAAGUCUCUAUCGAGGUUAAAGGUACCCGUACCGCAAACCGACACAGGUGGGUGAGGAGAGUAUCCUAAGGCCAGCGAGAGAACUGUUGUUAAGGAACUCGGCAAAAUGACCCCGUAACUUAGGGAUAAGGGGUGCCACCAUCAGGUGGCCGCAGAGAAUAGGCCCAAGCGACUGUUUACCAAAAACAUAGGUUUCUGCUAAGUCGCAAGACGAUGUAUAGGAGCUGACGCCUGCCCGGUGCUGGAAGGUUAAGGGGAUCUGUUAGAGCAAUCGAAGCAGUGAACUUAAGCCCCAGUAAACGGCGGCCGUAACUAUAACGGUCCUAAGGUAGCGAAAUUCCUUGUCGGGUAAGUUCCGACCCGCACGAAAGGCGUAACGAUUUGGGCACUGUCUCAACAACAGACUCGGUGAAAUUGUAAUUCCGGUGAAGAUGCCGGAUACCUGCGACAGGACGGAAAGACCCCAUGGAGCUUUACUGUAGCUUGACAUUGGGUCUUGGUACUACAUGUACAGGAUAGGUGGGAGGCUUUGAAACCAGGACGCCAGUUUUGGCGGAGCCAUCCUUGGGAUACCACCCUUGUAGUACUGGGACUCUAACCAUAGGCCAUGAAUCUGGUCUUGGGACACUGUCAGGUGGGCAGUUUGACUGGGGCGGGCGCCUCCCAAAAGGUAACGGAGGCGCUCAAAGGUUCUCUCAGUACGGUCGGAAAU
rnacentral:rRNA from 1 species